AAAAAUACUAAUAUUUAUAUUAGUUAAGAUUAAGAUAUGUGGGCCAUGUGCCCACUUCGAUAUUAAAUUUAUUUUUUUGGGGGAAGGCUCACCGCCACUGGGGCCCUCGCGCGUCGCCCAGGCAUUGCACUGCUGCCUGGGCCUGGCGCACCCCAA
rnacentral:snRNA from 1 species